UACAUGUGGGGCAAGCGUUGUUCGGAAUCACUGGGCUUAAAGCGUGUGUAGGCGGAUCGUUAAGUACCUUGUGAAAUCCCACGGCUCACCCGUGGAACUGCUGGGUAUACUGGCGAUCUUGGGCCAACUAGGGGCAGCUGGAACAAGCGGUGGAGCGGUGAAAUGCGUAGAUAUCGCUUGGAACGCCGAAGGUGAAAACAGGCUGCUGGGGUUGUGCCGACGCUGAGACACGAAAGCCAGGGGAGCAAACGGG
rnacentral:rRNA from 1 species